rnacentral:rRNA from 1 species
UCCUGGCUCAGAUUGAACGCUGGCGGCAUGCCUUACACAUGCAAGUCGAACGGCAGCGGACCUUCGGGUGCCGGCGAGUGGCGAACGGUGAGUAAUAUAUCGGAACGUACCUUCAGUGGGGGAUAACGUAGCGAAAGUUACGCUAAUACCGCAUAUUCUGUGAGCAGGAAAGCAGGGGAUCGCAAGACCUUGCGCUGAUUGAGCGGCCGAUAUCAGAUUAGCUAGUUGGUGAGGUAAAGGCUCACCAAGGCGACGAUCUGUAGCGGGUCUGAGAGGAUGAUCCGCCACACUGGAACUGAGACACGGUCCAGACUCCUACGGGAGGCAGCAGUGGGGAAUUUUGGACAAUGGGCGCAAGCCUGAUCCAGCCAUGCCGCGUGAGUGAAGAAGGCCUUCGGGUUGUAAAGCUCUUUCGGCCGGGAAGAAAUCGCACAGGUUAAUACCCUGUGUGGAUGACGGUACCGGAAUAAGAAGCACCGGCUAACUACGUG